AUGUCAAUUGGUAUUGGUAUGUUAUGCAGAUCAAAUGUACCAUCCUCCUCCCCUACCUCUUCAAUGAAAAUCACAUGGGCCUCUACAUUAUGGACAAGACUUCACCCUCCCUACACCUCUGAUGAAUAUAACAGGAAACCUGUUCGAUCACCAUACACUGCAAAAUCAUUCUGGCUAUGGAUAAGGAGAACAUCAACACAUUAACAUCAACACGACAGAGGAUAUACCCAUUGGACUUGGGGCUCUGCUGGGAGUUUGCCUCAUAUUUAGAUGUUUUUAUUCUGCUUUGCCACUAAAAAUCAUAAACACUGACAACUAAAAUAUUGUGUUAUUGUUGUUUUUUAUAUGCGUAGUAUUAUUAUUAAUAAUAAUAAUAAAAGGGGUGGGGGGGUAGUUAAAAAAUGCACCCCAAAAGGUUCUUCAAAAGGUUCUUUGAGGAUCCAUUAAAAGGGCUUCUUUGAAGAAUCAUUUUAAAGGGUUCUUCGAAAAACAUAUAUUUGUUCCCUAGAGUUUCAAUUUGAAGAACCCCUAAAAGAUACUCUAAGAACCUUUUAUUUUUAGUGUGGAGGUCUGAGUGGAUUUGACAGGUGAAAAUCAAUAUGUCAAUAGCUCCAACUUGCCCUCUGAUAGGCUAGGUGGAAGUUUCACCGUACAACCAACUCCUUUCUGAUCUACAUUAGGGAAUAGAUUCUGACAUUGUCCUCUGGAAGAUGCUGUCUUUCGGAAGGGGCUUUAAACAGGUGUCUUGACUCUCUAUUCAUUGAAGAUAGCUUAACAUGAUAUGCCUACUUCUCGUAAGAGAAGAGGUGCUUGUCCCAUUGUCCUGACUAAUUUAGACCCAUUCCCAAUUUGGACCCAUAAUGGGCUCCUGAAUAUGGACCCAUAAUGGGCUCCCGAAUAUGGACCCAUAAUGGGCUUCCGAAUAUGGACCCAUAAUGGGCUCCCGAAUAUGGACCCAUAAUGGGCUCCCGAAUAUGGACCCAUAAUGGGCUCCCGAAUAUGGACCCAUAAUGGGCUCCCGAAUAUGGACCCAUAAUGGGCUCCCGAAUAUGGACCCAUAAUGGGCUCCCGAAUGGCGCUGCGUUCUAAGGCACUGCAUCUUUGUGCUAGAGGCAUCACUACAGACCCUGGUUCGAUUCCAGGCUGUAUCACAACCGGCCGUGAUUGGGAGUCCCAUAGGGCGGCGCACAAUUGGCCCAGCGUUGUUAGGGUUUGGCCGUAGUAGGCCGUCAUUGUAAAUACGAUUUUUUUGUUAACUGACUUGCCUAGUUAAAUAAAGCUUAAAUAAAUAAAAUACAAAAUAAAUGUAAUCAUUCCCUUGAUAAGUAAUUAGCUCCUUAUUCCACUCUAUUUGCCCUAUGCAACUAAAACCUGUUUUGGCCACUAAAAAUAGAUUAUUCUCAUUCAUAAGCCUAUAUUAUAAUGUCAAAACCAUAUCAAUGAUGACAUAACAAGGGUGGCCUAAUUUCUGUUGAAAUACAAAAUAAAUGUGGUUUUUGAAGUAUUCUAAGGAUAUUAUGAUUCUAAGGUUGAAUAUAGGCUACAUGAUUGGUGUUUUUUCCACAAUGUUUUUUCCACAAUGUUGGCCUUCAAAUGUGUUUUCUAUAGAACUACACAUUAAGGAUAGGUUGCUGCUGUUGUCGGAAACAGAAUUGAACUGAUAUCGUCAGAGAUGUGUCUCUAAUUCUGUAGAAUAUACUAGAAUUAGAUUUGAAAGUGUGUAAUGCUGCCAAAGUUGUCUUUCAAAUCACAAACAUAAUCUGAAGAGAACUGUCACGUUUUGAGAAAUAGUAGUCAUGCAUGAGGCGCAUCGCCACACUUCGCACUAGAAACUUUCCAUUACUGAAAAAUAUAUUUUCUGUGAAAGUGUUAUUCGUGCUUAAUUUACAAAUAUAACCUUUUCAAAUUGACUCCAUUGACUUCGAUGACUUAGCCUACAAGUUAGCUCACAGGUUUCAAGGUAUGCUAAUUGGGAGAGAGGAAGGGAAGAGAGCAGGAAGAUCACCUGCUGAGUGAGGUUCUCAUCGAUAGGGUCACCCAGGACAACAUAAUUGGAGCCACCAAUUAUGUUGUCGAGAGCCACAACUGUCGGCUCAAGCGUUAAAAUAAAAAAAGUACCAGCUUUAAUUGUGAUCAAGAAUCAAGUUGAUUUGCUAUUGUAGGUGUUACAAUCUGGUUCAGUUACUGCCCCCGUCCCCCCGGGGUCCCCCGUCCCCCUCGGGGGUCGCACCCCACAAUUCGGUAAACGAUGACUUAACAGGUAAUUAGACAAUUCAAAGGUAGCCUAUAGAGACAAGGUUGUACAACCUGUGCAUAUGUUUAUUAAACUUAAAAUUGCGUAUUAAAUAUUUAUAUUGAUGGGCGACACCUGGAGGGGGGUGGAGACAAUCACAAAGACCGGUGAAACAGAUCAGGGUGUGACACAACUCUUGUGUUAUUGUCAUUCUUCACUGGGGCAAAUACUUAUUAACCCCUCCCCCUGAAGGAUUGACUUGAACCCGCCCAGAAAUGUAAUCAUUGUAUGUGCAUAUUCAUUGUAGCCCUAUACUUGGUUUUGCACAUUGGAAAUAUUGGAAGAUAGUGUCACGACUCCGACCGAAGGACACUCCCCUUCCCGUUCGGGUGGCGCUCGGCGGUCGUCGUCGCCGGCCUACUAGCUGCUACUGAUUAUUUCCUCCCCCUCCUUAUGUGUUGAUUGUGUGCACCUGUUUUGAGUUAGGUAGUAGGCUUUAUUAGUCAGCCGGCCCGCAGGGUUCCUUGUGCGGGAUUAAUUAUUGUGAUCGUCUGUUUGGUGUACUUGUGUGCACGUCUAUUGGGUUUUGUGUUUUCCCAUUUUGUGGGUUUUUCCCUGGACAGUUUAAGUCCCCCUGUUUGGGGAAUUUGUUUGUUCAGUACGCCCUGUGUUUUUGUGAGGGUUGGCUUAUGUUCAGCGUUUAUCAGUGCAUUAAAAUAGCACUCCCCUGAACUCUCUGCUUCCUGCGCCUGACUCCUCACCCACUACACUCAGACCGUUAC
rnacentral:lncRNA from 13 species